GGAGAGGUGGCUGAGUGGUCGAAAGCGACUGAUUGCUAAUUGGUUGUAGGGCGUCAUUUCCCUACCGAGGGUUCGAACCCCUCUCUCUCCU
rnacentral:tRNA from 1 species